UUUUCCUCUUCGUAGGACCCACGUAGCGAGGACCCGAUGCCAGGUCCAGUGGACAGACUUCAGACGUCUCUGUGUGUCCGGUCCUGUCCGGUCCUGUCUCUGGUUGCCAGGUUACAGACGCUGCUGCACCCGCACGUUUAAAAAUGUCUACACCUGAAACUCCACCACGUCUAAAGAAGCAAAAACGUUUGCAAAUGUACAGACUGGAGUGGGAAGAGUGGAACCCCUGGCAAUGGAUACAAGGCAAACUGUGUUUUCUGUUGCUCAUGGACUGGCUGAAGUAAGGCAGCAUCAGGAGACAAACAUGGAGGAAAUAUGAGAACAGAGAGAACCCAACCAGCAGGUCACAGUUUAUCAUCAUCUAAUCAUCUCCUGAAGUCCAUAUGGUCCCUCUCUAUCUCCCCACACAUCCACCAACCACUGGAACACAUCUCCAAAGUUCUGCUGGGCCAGCUCAGCUUCCCCUCAGAAGAAGUGGUGCCACCUGCCAGAUGAAGGAGCCUUUUGAGAGGCAGCUGGCAUCGUGAUUGGACUGUACUUUGGUCUGUUCCAAUCCAGCUUCAGCUCCAGAGACGGCAGGCGGGACGAGUCAACGGAGGCCGGGUGGAUGAAGACAUGCAGCUGAGUACAAUCCAGAAAACAACAGAGGAGGAGUGCAGGGCCAGAACAACCAGAGUAGCACAUUAUGUCUCUUAGAAAACAUCAUAGUAUAGCCUUUGGUAUGAAAAAACGCCAUCAUAUACAUCGUAUAUUGUACAAAUAACAAGUCAAAGGAAAGAGACAUACAUUGUAGAAUUGUAGUAAUUGUGGGCUGACUGAUUUACUGAUGAGCAGUAUUUUAUUUUUUACUGAUUUAUGGUAAUAAAUCAAUUUAAAAAUGGUG